rnacentral:rRNA from 1 species
AUUGAACGCUGGCGGCAGGCCUAACACAUGCAAGUCGAACGGUAACAGGAAGAAGCAUGCUUCUUUGCUGACGAGUGGCGGACGGGUGAGUAAUGUCUGGGAAACUGCCUGAUGGAGGGGGAUAACUACUGGAAACGGUAGCUAAUACCGCAUAACGUCGCAAGACCAAAGAGGGGGACCUUCGGGCCUCUUGCCAUCGGAUGUGCCCAGAUGGGAUUAGCUAGUAGGUGGGGUAACGGCUCACCUAGGCGACGAUCCCUAGCUGGUCUGAGAGGAUGACCAGCCACACUGGAACUGAGACACGGUCCAGACUCCUACGGGAGGCAGCAGUGGGGAAUAUUGCACAAUGGGCGCAAGCCUGAUGCAGCCAUGCCGCGUGUAUGAAGAAGGCCUUCGGGUUGUAAAGUACUUUCAGCGGGGAGGAAGGGAGUAAAGUUAAUACCUUUGCUCAUUGACGUUACCCGCAGAAGAAGCACCGGCUAACUCCGUG